rnacentral:rRNA from 1 species
UACGAAGGGGGGCUAGCGUUGCUCGGAAUCACUGGGCGUAAAGGGUGCGUAGGCGGGUUUUUAAGUCAGGGGUGAAAUCCUGGAGCUCAACUCCAGAACUGCCUUUGAUACUGAAGAUCUUGAGUUCGGGGAGAGGUGAGUGGAACUGCGAGUGUAGAGGUGAAAUUCGUAGAUAUUCGCAAGAACACCAGUGGCGAAGGCGGCUCACUGGCCCGAUACUGACGCUGAGGCACGAAAGCGUGGGGAGCAAACAGG